AGGAUCCCAUCUAUGUCUGACCCUACUUGGAUAUUGUGCGCAAUCUAUAUGAAUUCUAAAACUGUUGCAGGUUUCACAAAUGAAUUCCAUGUACCGUGAAGAGAUAAAUCGGCAACAUGCCUUGCACCGAAAGUACUCGGAUGGUGCAUGUUGAACUAGAGGGUGCUUGUGAGAUUUAUGUUUGAUCUUGGUAGGUAGAAAAGCACAACCAGUAUCAACCGUGAAAUUACAAGUCUCGCACCGAAAAUAGAAUCCAUUGGUCGACAAGUUACAAGUGGUACAUUUGACGCAGUUAAAAAAAUUAUCAACUCUAUGCUUUGAGAGCGAAUGUUCCGGGUGGCGUGGGCAUUCUCCUACAGGCAACUCGGGUGGCAGCUCGGCACAAACUCUGUGAAGAAAGAUACUGCAUCCAAUACAGCCAUAAAAUGGAUGGGCAGUCGAGACGGGUUUUACACACCCAUCGCAAAGAAUUUCAUCAUCAUUAUUCUUAAAACUACUUUGAUCAAAUUCUUCCAGAAGGAGUAAUGCAUGCUCCCUAUGGCUCUCGUGGUAGAUUAAGUGAUCAGGCGUUGUUUCUAUGAUCAUUUUUUCAGUACCUUCUUCUUCGCCUAGAUUAAUAAUAUUGGUCUUGCCAAUAUGGUCUGUUAUUAGAUCCAAUAACGAUUCCUUAUUAUCCACCGGAAAGUGUAUCAAAUUAGGUAUGUCAUGGUCUGCUGCAAUCUCUUCUUCACAAUAUCUGAAACCACAAAUUAGUUAUAUAUGCCAUGCUAGAGUAGUAAGAAUUUCAAGUAAGCAUUAAUUGCUUAGUUUUCUUAAUACUUGUAGUAAUACAUUAAGACGUGAGUCAUAAAAGAUGAAAAGAAAGAAAGAAAUAAAAAUAGUAGUAAAACAAACCAAAUAAUUACUACAAAUUAGCACACACCUUGAAGAAUAUUCUUCCUCCGACAAUUUACCACAUUCCAUGUGCACAAAAUAUCUGCAUUUAUCACAAUAGUAAACCCAAGAGUUUUGCAACACGUCUUCGUUGCAGAGGCAGCAAAGUGGGAUACUCUUACGAUCCAUGUCAGGCAGAGAAUAUUUGAGGAAUAGAGGGUGACGGUGAAAACUAGGUGUGACGGUGGUUGGUGAAAAAGCACAAGUACUAUGGAUCCAAAAUGCACAUACGUGACAUUCAUAAGAGAAGUCCUCAGCUUUCAUGCCGCAAGCAUCACAUAAAAACAAGGCUUUCCUAGGCCAAAAGGUAAAUUCGUGCUUGUGUCCAUCAUGACGAAUCAAUCGAUCCUUACAUGUCAAGCACACGUCAAAGUUACAAGAAAGACAAGUGUACGUGAACCAAUUGGACACGCGGUUACAAAUAUCACAAAUGGUCGUAUCCGUUCCAUAACUACCCAAACGUGCGUGGAGGGUAAGAGGAUGUUGAUCGUGUAGAGGGUGAUGAAUUUCAUCGGGUAAUUCUGCACAGGUUUUGUGCAGGUAGAAAUCACAACCAUCUCUAGUGCAUAAAUAUACUGCAGCAUGACCAGAGGUGAGGCGGCCUCCAACGACUGGAUUUCGACACCCAUAACACACAACUAAUUCCUUUCCAAUAUGUUGAAUUAGCUCCACCUGCUCUUUGAGGAUCAGUGAGUGCUCAUGGCUAACAUGUUGAAGCUCCAUCCCUAAGUUAAAAUGUAUGUGUGGAGAGUUAAUUUGAUAGUUUAAUUUGAGCAAAUUAAAUAGCGGAUCCCCUCCCUCCAUAUAUAUAUAUAUAUAUAUAAAUAUAAACGACUAUAUAUAUUUCAUUCUCCAAAAAUAUCCAAACUCUAUUUAAUAGUAACAACUACCAAUACAGCUAUUAAACAUGACUGACCAAUAAUGCAUGUCACAGCUAGCAAUAAAUGCAUGUCACAACUAGCAAUAAUUAUUAAUUCAUAUCAAUUUGAUCUUGUCAACCUUGAUAUACUUACGGAAGAGAAUUCGAUGGUGAGAGAAUAAUUUUUUAUCCUUUGAAGUUAAAGAGGAUAUAAUGGACGGUGAGAUUUAUCCCAAACUUUGGACGAUUCUGAUCGUUUAUUAGGGUGAGUGAAAAAUUCAAAAUUAAUUAUGUUUUAUUAAUUAUAUAUAUAUAAAACAAAAUACAACUUAACUGUCACUGCUCAGUUUUUACGUAUUGCUCAUGUGAAGAAUAAAACAUAUGAACCAGCUGCUCCAAGACAUUUUCAUACAAAGAUUCACCUCUCUGCUCCUUAGACAGAUCUUGGUUUGAAUCAAUAUGUUGAAUAAAAUUUUACUUGAAUCUCCUUGAUUUUAACCGUAAAUGUCCAAUUAUUAUACUACUACUAGUUAACAAAAUAAUGAUUCUCCUUCAAAUUUCAAUGUAGUCUGUUUGAAUAAAAAUUCUUGCAGAGUCCGCCAUUCUUGGGUCUACUUCCUCCUCGCAGAUCUCGCAGUAAAUAAUGCCUUGACAAAAGAAAGGAGGGUAUUUCAAGGGAAUGGGGUGAGGAUCCCAUCUAUGUCUGACCCUACUUGGAUAUUGUGCGCAAUCUAUAUGAAUUCUAAAACUGUUGCAGGUUUCACAAAUGAAUUCCAUGUACCGUGAAGAGAUAAAUCGGCAACAUGCCUUGCACCGAAAGUACUCGGAUGGUGCAUGUUGAACUAGAGGGUGCUUGUGAGAUUUAUGUUUGAUCUUGGUAGGUAGAAAAGCACAACCAGUAUC
rnacentral:lncRNA from 1 species